AUUGAACGCUGGCGGCAGGCCUAACACAUGCAAGUCGAACGAGUGGCGGACGGGUGAGUAAUGUCUGGGAAAACGCCUGAUGGAGGGGGAUAAAUACCGGAAACGGUAGCUAAUACCGCAUACCAUCAGAUGUGCCCAGAUGGGAUUAGCUAGUAGGUGGGGUAAUGGCUAACCUAGGCGCCGAUCCCUAGCUGGUCUGAGAGGAUGACCGGCCACACUGGAACUGAGACACGGUCCAGACUCCUACGGGAGGCAGCAGUGGGGAAUAUUGCACAAUGGGCGCAAGCCUGAUGCAGCCAUGCCGCGGGUGUGAAGAAGGCCUUCGGGUUGGAAAGCACUUUCAGCGAGGAAGCGUUACUCGCAGAAGAAGCACCGGCUAACUCCGUGCCAGCAGCCGCGGUAAUAC
rnacentral:rRNA from 1 species